CAUUUUGUUGUUUGUUUACAAUAACUUCCGGGUAGAAAACUGCGCAUUACUAAUCAGGUCCUGUGUUGUUCCUGGUACUCUGAGUUGGCUCUGCGUGUUUCCUGCCCUUGGGGUUUUUUGCUGCCUGUGUCCCUGAGCUCCAUCCUGGAUAUGAGGUUUACUCACGGCGUUGAUGCCGGACAGCUGCUGAGAGAGCUGGAGGACGAUAGCGAUAAUGAUUGGCUGACGGUAGUUGGGGGAGCGGAAGAGUUCGGGGAUGGUCACUUUCUUUUCCAUGGCCAUCUUCAUCCCUUCCUCCUUCAUUUCCUGAAUGUCUUCUUCCACAUCUUCAGUGCCGCGCAGACGCACCAGGGCUACAGAGAGGAAAAGGCGGAUAAAUAGAGAGGAAGCUGAUGAGCAGGUAACGGGGGCUUUCGGGACAGAAGGGCAGCAUGAUACUCUGCACGAUGGCUGGCAGGAUGGUCAGAGCCAGCAGCACAGGCCACAGAGUGUCUGAGCCGAGCAGAGACUCCAGACCGAAGAUCUGAAAAC